rnacentral:lncRNA from 1 species
UCUAUUUUGAUAAAUAUAUUUUAUUUUAUUUUUUAAAUCUUUAUUUUUACAAAAAAAUCUAAUUUAUUCAUGAAAUUAGAUUUUUUAAAAUAUGUUAACAUCAUAAAUUAUCAAAAAUACCUACAAUAAAUGCAAAAAUAUACUACUUAUCAUCUGAAUCAAAGUCAGAUCGAAUGUCAGCCAUCUGAUCUAGGUUCUAAUAAAGUUCUGGCCGUC